ACUCAUACCUUGCAGGUGAAAUACCAUGUUAUAAAAGUGGUUUUCCCAGGGAAAGGUGCAUCCAUUGCACUUUGGGUGUGCUGUUGACCCCUGUGAUUUCCCCAAAUGUGGGGAACUCAACUAAAUAAUUUGUGUUAAUGGGGGCAUUAUGUUUGUGAAUUGUUUUU
rnacentral:snRNA from 1 species